UGCGAGCGACCAUCUUGCUCCUGCCCCUGACAGGCUCUCCUGUCCAGGUCACUGGGACGCCCAGACAGCCAAGUGGCCCCUCGCUGACCAUGUUGUCCAGGGUGGUAUUUUCUGCCACCGCCACAGCGGCCCCCAGUCUGAAGAACGCAGCCCUUCUUGGUCCAGGGGUACUGCAGGCAACAAGGAUCUUUCACACUGGGCAGCCAAGUCUCGCCCCUGUACCACCUCUUCCUGAAUAUGGAGGAAAAGUUCGUCAUGGGCUGAUUCCUGAGGAAUUUUUCCAGUUCCUUUAUCCUAAAACUGGUGUAACAGGACCCUAUGUGCUCGGAACUGGGCUUACCUUAUAUUUUCUAUCCAAAGAAAUGUAUGUGGUUACACCAGAGACCAUCUCUGCUGUAUCAACAAUAGGGUUGCUUGUCUAUGUAAUUAAAAAAUAUGGUGCCUCUAUUGGGGAAUUUGCUGAUAAACUCAAUGAGCAAAAAAUUGCCCAACUAGAAGAGGCGAAGCAGGCUUCCAUCAAAUCUAUCCAGGAUGCAAUUAAUCUGGAGAAGUCACAACAGACACUGGUUCAAAAGUGCCAUUAUCUUUUUGAUGUCCAGAGGAAUAACAUUGCUAUGGCCUUGGAGGUUACUUACCGGGAACGGCUGCUUAGAGUAUACAGGGAGGUAAACAAUCGCCUGGAUUAUCAGAUCUCUGUGCAGAAUAUGAUGCGUCGAAAGGAACAAGAGCACAUGAUAAACUGGGUGGAGAAGCACGUGGUACAGAGCAUCUCUGCACAGCAGGAAAAGGAGACAAUUGCCAAGUGCAUUUCAGAUCUAAAGCUGCUUGCAAAGAAGGCCCAAGCACAGCCAGUUAUGUAAAUGCAGCCAUCCCGAUUGAGACAGCUAGAAACAGUUGACUGACUAAAUGGAAACUACUCGAU